GGCGCCUUGGGGGAAAUCUCGCGAGAUGAGACUUGCGGCGGGAGUUUGAGUCAGGCAGAAGGAAGCCUGCGUUCCACUAGCUUUGCGGGAGCUGUAGGCUGUUGUAGGAAGAAUGGGACUGUUGCUCAGUAUGGACUCAAUUCUAAUCCCCGUACGGCUCUGCUGGGACGAAAACGUUGAGUAGAGAAAGCUGUGAAGGGGAGAGAAGAGACAAGCGCUCUAGUAAUUCUCUUCCGGAAUCUGCAGCUUUGUGACAGCAGUGGGCGGAAAUCCAGCAAAUAGCUGACCUGAAAAAAGAGAACUUCAGCUUAAAACUACGUAUAUAUUUCUUGGAGGAACAAGUGCAGCAGAAGUGUGACAGCAGCAAUGAAGAUUUGUAUAGAAUGUUGCUGUGCUUUCAGUCUUCAGUAUCCUCUGCCUUUACGGUUUUCUGGCUUCCUUUGCAAUCAGCCUUUUCAACAAGGAGCUCAUAGCGAUGGGACCUGCUAUCUUUAAGCUGUGUUGUUUUUUGUUUAAGAACCCCUGGCACCCAAGAUUUCCUAUGAAAUUGUUAGGGAUUGAAUUUAACAUUAAGACCCUCUACCUUCACUAUGCCUAUAAGGGCCCAGCUGCAAGAGAGAAAGAGAAUGAGGCAUUGAGAGCAAGAGGAGUUCUACAUCUACAUCAUACUGGAAGUUACCAAAAUGUUGAAAAUGACAUGAGGAAACUUUGGCCGUCGCUGGAAAACAAAAUGCUGCAUAUGCCUUCCCACUGGCAUUCACUUUAUUGAACAUGGGAAGGCAUUUUGGUCUCUGGCAGUAGUGGAGAUUUAACGACUGGUGACUAAUCUCCCUAUGGGGAAUUGUUGAAUCCUCUGUGGAUAACCCCCUCAGCUGAUACCUCAUAAUAGACCAUGGCCAGGAUGUGUAUGGGCAUAGCUAGAAAUCAUCCAAAAAGCUCUUGUAGAUAAGAGGAUGACUUAUCUUUGCUAAUUUCUCAAUGGUUGCUAUGGGUUACAACAGCAGGUUUUUUUCUGCCCCCAUCGUCUGCUAUGCCUUCACAAAAUUACCGAACACAGUAAUUACUGGUACUGGAAACACUGGAGACAUUCCUGGAGAUAUUCCUUCUUCUUAAUAUAGAAAUGUAUUGUCACCCUUUCCAUAGUUAACAGACACUUUAGGAAUCACCUUAAAUUGGCAGAUGGUGGGUUGCCCAUGAUUUUGUUGCUAUGGCAGGGGUUUGGAUGCUUGCCCCUCAAAGUUAUGCCCCAGGUCUGUGUAUAGUUCAAUUUGCAGGCAGCCAGGCUACUGACUGGGAAGCCCCUGCAUCUUAAAGAGAAAAAAUGAUUUUUAAUCACAAUGUGGUUUAUUUUCUAUAUUGAAGUAUGCUGUUUGUUAAUUAUACAUAAAGUAUACAUCUUUCUGUGCUGGUGAUUUAGGCAGCAGCAAAGAGAGCAAAUUGUAAGAACAUGAUUCCAAGACCCAAACAUGUAAGGGGAAUUAGAGGCCACUUAGUAUUUUUAUGGUCACUAACUAGCCCGGCUCCCUCCACAAAUCUGUUAUCUCAUCAAGAGACUUUAAAUGCUAGAGGCAUGUUAUGCAAGGGGGAGACGUUUUCACUUUUGCACCUUUAAUUUCUAGAUGUGUACUAUAUUUGAGAAAAGGCUGCUACAUUGCAGUCUAUAGACAACUUCCGUAGUGCUGGUUGGAGCAACCACAUUGGCAUAGGUACCGUGACUCAACAUCCGGUAGAACCACUCCUUCACUUUUGGACUUGUCUAGGUAGCAAUCUCUACCCUGUGUACCCCAGGUACCACCUGUUAAAGCCACAACCUUCGACCUCUUCAUGUGACAUAAUGAGGAGGCAAAUGUAUUACAUCAGAUUUGGGUACUAUAGCUUUUUGAAUGUGGAUACAUGUCCAAGUUGCUGCACUAAGCAUACAGCCUUCAUCCCAUGAUGGGGAAUGGUGGAGGAUUCCAAGAAUGACCAUUAUAAACAGAAUCUUCAGCCUGUUAGGCCAGUGUGAGAAUUCUUGGUAGAGCAGCCAAUACCCACAGGAGGAGGGCACCUGUCACUCACAGGCCCUUUCUUACCUAUUAUCCCAUUAGGACCUAAAAUGCCGAAAAGUUGAAGUCCUGAAAGGCUUCUUCAAUGUCAUCUGCCAUUUCAGCACAAGGUCCUUUGGGCAGCGUUAGAUUGGCUGGCAGCUUGGUGUACUUCUCAGCAAAAUAGCUGACAUCCUCCGGUCCGUUGAGGCUGGGUACGAACGGGGCUGUUGCCUUCCCAUCAAUGAUGUCAUCCCAGGCUGUGUUCUGCAAACAGGCUGCUGUUGUUCCACAUUGGCCUCUUCGUCAUCCUCCUCAUCUUCUGCAGUGACAGUUCCCCUUUAUAUCUGGUGGCAAGGCCUCACCCUCAGGCAGGAAACAAUGGCUUUAUAUUUCCAUCAGCCUUACCUCAGUGUUUUGCUGCUGGUGCAAGAUGUUACACAGCUUGGCACCCAUCUUGAAUCUCCUGUAUCAGGAAAGAAAGAUUAGAUCUGGUUAAACUGUCUAUGGAAGAAAAAGGCAAAGGAUCACAGGUGCAUGAUGGGAAAGAGACAGCUUCCCACAGUUGAAUCCUGAGUGAGAAGGAGCCAUGUGAGUGAGGGUUUGAUGCUCGGGCCAUGCAGCACUGUAUCUGCAGCAGCGGAGGAGUUCAGUGCAACACAGAAGAACACCCCUUGCGCCUUGGUUCCUCACUCAUCAGAACCAGUGGGAUCUGUCUAUGAAAGAAAAAGGCACAGAAUCAAAGGUGCAUGAUGGGAAAGAGACAGAUUCUCACAUUUGAAACCUAAGCGAGAAGGAACCAUGUGAGCAAGUCGUAUUGAUGCUUGGGCCGUGCAGCUCAGGAGGAGUUCGGUGCGACACAGAGGAACAACCCUAGCAGACUGUACCAACAUGCCCCCUGCAGAUACAACAUUUUUGAUUUUUAAGCUCUUGGUGGGAAGAAGGAAUUAAAUGCGCACUUAACUGGAGACUGUUUAUUAAAGUAUAAUGAGGUGGGACCCCCCCCUUUGUUUGCUUGGCCCCUUCCGCUUUCCAUGAGGAAAUGACCAGACAGACAGCACAGCUUUGGGAGGAUGCAAACAGGAUUAUGGUUGGAUCUGGCUAAACUGUCUAUGGAAGAUAAAGGCAAAGGAUCACAGGUGCAUGAUGGGAAAGAGACAGCUUCCCACAUUUGAAUCCUGAGUGAGAAGGAGCCAUGUGAGUGAGGGUUUGAUGCUCGGGCCGUGCAGCGCAGGAGGAGUUCCAUCACUAUACCAUUAACUGAGAGACUUCAGAGCCCAAUAGGACUUGUGACCAGCCCAUUCUGGGACCCUUCCCUGCUGUGUAGGGGUUUUCUAGUGCAUUUUACUGCUGAGCCAUGGGAAGCCUUUUGUCUUUGGCUUGUUUAAUAGACUUUGGCCUCUGUCUCCACUCCUCCUUUCAUUUCAUUAUAGAAAGCUAAUCCAAUGAUUAGAGCCAGGACCUAUAUAAACCAGCUUGUCACCAUGUUUUUAGGGCUACAUAGCUGUCUGCAUCUAGUCUGUGACUCCCGAGUUCCUGGAUGAUGUAUUUUUGAGUUGUUAAACUUAUUUGGCUUUGGCCCUGGCCUGAUUCUGGACCUUGACUGCUGCCUAUCCUGAUUUUUGUUAAUUAUACUGCACUAUGCCUUGCCUUCUGCUUACUGUGAGCAAUGGUUUGUAUACUAGACUCUGCCUUGUCUUCUGCCUGCCUUGACGGACAACUUCCAAUCUGUAUCUUCCAAUAAAAUCCAGCCUUGUUUCUUUCAAA